rnacentral:rRNA from 1 species
UACGUAGGGGGCUAGCGUUGUCCGGAAUCAUUGGGCGUAAAGAGCGUGUAGGCGGCCCGGUAAGUCCGCUGUGAAAGUCGGGGGCUCAACCCUCGAAUGCCGGUGGAUACUGUCGGGCUAGAGUGCGGAAGAGGCGAGUGGAAUUCCUGGUGUAGCGGUGAAAUGCGCAGAUAUCAGGAAGAACACCAAUGGCGAAGGCAGCUCUCUGGGACGGUACUGACGCUGAGACGCGAAAGCGUGGGGAGCAAACAGG